CUGGUGAUGUCAUCCUCAUAGUUUCAGCCUUGCCUGAAGGCCUGAUGCGGUCACUGGUC
rnacentral:snoRNA from 1 species